GAUGAACGCUAGCGGCAGGCCUAAUACAUGCAAGUCGAACAGUGUCUUCGGACAUAGUGGCGCACGGGUGCGUAACACGUAUGCAACCUACCUUACAUUGGGGGAUAGCCUUUCGAAAGGGAGAUUAAUACCGCAUAAGACAGUAGCUGGGCAUCCAGCAGCUGUUAAAGAUUUAUCGAUGUAAGCUGGGCAUGCGUCCAAUUAGCUAGUUGGUGAGGUAACGGCUCACCAAGGCAAUGAUUGGUAGGGGAACUGAGAGGUCAAUCCCCCACACUGGCACUGAGAUACGGGCCAGACUCCUACGGGAGGCAGCAGUAGGGAAUAUUGGGCAAUGGACGCAAGUCUGACCCAGCCAUGCCGCGUGCAGGAUGAAGGCGUUAUGCGUUGUAAACUGCUUUUAUGCAGGAAGAAACGACUCUUGCGAGAGGCAUUGACGGUACUGUAUGAAUAAGCACCGGCUAACUACGUGCCAGCAGCCGCCGUAAGAC
rnacentral:rRNA from 1 species